AGUGAACGCUGGCGGUAGGCCUAACACAUGCCAGUCGAACGGCAGCACAGUAUGAGCUUGCUCUUACGGGUGGCGAGUGGCGGACGGGUGAGGAAUACAUCGGAAUCUACUUUUUCGUGGGGGAUAACGUAGGGAAACUUACGCUAAUACCGCAUACGACCUACGGGUGAAAGUAGGGGAUCUUCGGACCUUGCGCGAUUGAAUGAGCCGAUGUCGGAUUAGCUAGUUGGCGGGGUAAAGGCCCACCAAGGCGACGAUCCGUAGCUGGUCUGAGAGGAUGAUCAGCCACACUGGAACUGAGACACGGUCCAGACUCCUACGGGAGGCAGCAGUGGGGAAUAUUGGACAAUGGGCGCAAGCCUGAUCCAGCCAUACCGCGUGGGUGAAGAAGGCCUUCGGGUUGUAAAGCCCUUUUGUUGGGAAAGAAAAGCAGCAGGUUAAUACCCCGCUGUUCUGACGGUACCCAAAGAAUAAGCACCGGCUAACUUCGUG
rnacentral:rRNA from 1 species